UAUUAGACCUCGUGUGCACCCAAGAAACUCCUGCCUACAGUCAUGCUCUGUUUCCCAAAAUUGAAACAGCCACAUUAUCCUUGCGAAGGAUGUUUCUGAUCGAAAUUGGCUUAUCCAUGAUCCAGUUUUGGUGGAGAGUUCCCUACCAUUUGAGUUUCGCCACUUCAUGCGCUAAUGAGUUUGCUUCUCUGGGCACCCAGCUGCCCUAAUUGCUAAUGCUUCCGCAGCCAAUGGCGAGCCCGCAACUAUGGUGGAGUUAAUUCCUGAGAGGAGGGAUCCAUUAUGGUCUCUAAAUACUAUAGCCACAGCCCCCACAGAUUGAGCGCCAAUGAAAGCUGCAUCAACGUUGCAUUUGAUCCAACCUUGCAGUGGCGGUUUCCAGGUUCACAAGAUUCCCUCUGAUGCUCCAAGGUCUACCUUUUCGUAUCUGAACACCCUUGCUAGCAUUCCUGAAGCUGAUCAGAAACUUAUUUCUACCCACCUCUGAGAUCGCCACUCCCUCCGGAUUCCCCCAGAUUCCCAGCAGAGCCGCUUUGCACGUGUUGAAGCUGACUUCUUU